rnacentral:rRNA from 1 species
AGCGCACACGGUGGAUGCCUUGGCGGUCAGAGGCGAUGAAGGACGUGGCAGCCUGCGAAAAGUAUCGGGGAGCUGGCAACAAGCUUUGAUCCGGUAAUGUCCGAAUGGGGAAACCCACCCGCUUGCGGGUAUCCUGCAGUGAAUACAUAGCUGCUGGAAGCGAACCUGGUGAACUGAAAUAUCUAAGUAACCAGAGGAAAAGAAAUCAACCGAGAUUCCGUAAGUAGCGACGAGCGAACGCGGACUAGCCCUUAAGCUGAUUUGGUUCUAGGAAAACGCUCUGGAAAGAGCGGCCAUAGAAGGUGAUAGCCCUGUAUCUGAAAGGGCCAUUUCAGUGAAGACGAGUAGGGCGGGGCACGUGAAACCCUGUCUGAACAUGGGGGGACCAUCCUCCAAGGCUAAAUACUACUGACCGACCGAUAGUGAACCAGUACCGUGAGGGAAAGGCGAAAAGAACCCCGGAGAGGGGAGUGAAAUAGAACCUGAAACCGUGUGCGUACAAGCAGUAGGAGCUCCGCAAGGAGUGACUGCGUACCUUUUGUAUAAUGGGUCAGCGACUUACUGUUCGUGGCAAGCUUAACCGUAUAGGGGAGGCGAAGGGAAACCGAGUCUGAUAAGGGCGCAUAGUCGCGGGCAGUAGACCCGAAACCGGGUGAUCUAGUCAUGCCCAGGGUGAAGGUGCGGUAACACGCACUGGAGGCCCGAACCCACUCCCGUUGCAAAGGUAGGGGAUGAGGUGUGAUUAGGAGUGAAAAGCUAAUCGAACCCGGAGAUAGCUGGUUCUCCUCGAAAGCUAUUUAGGUAGCGCCUCAUAUGUAUCCUCUCGGGGGUAGAGCACUGUUAUGGCUAGGGGGUCAUCGCGACUUACCAAACCAUUGCAAACUCCGAAUACCGAGACGGACUGUAUGGGAGACACACGGCGGGUGCUAACGUCCGUCGUGAAAAGGGAAACAACCCAGACCCACAGCUAAGGUCCCAAAUUUUGUGCUAAGUGGAAAACCAUGUGGAAAGGCACAGACAGCCAGGAGGUUGGCUUAGAAGCAGCCACCCUUUAAAGAAAGCGUAAUAGCUCACUGGUCGAGUCGGUCUGCGGGGAAGAUUUAACGGGGCUAAGCACAGAACCGAAGCUUGGGGUGCAUACUUUGUAUGCGCGGUAGAGGAGCGUUCCGUAAGCCGUUGAAGGUGGAUUGAGAAGUCUGCUGGAGGUAUCGGAAGUGCGAAUGCUGACAUGAGUAACGAUAAUGCGGGUGAAAAACCCGCACGCCGAAAGCCCAAGGUUUCCUUGCGCAACGUUAAUCGGCGCAGGGUGAGUCGGCCCCUAAGGCGAGGACGAAAGUCGUAGUCGAUGGGAAGCAGGUUAAUAUUCCUGCACCUCGCGUAAGUGCGAUGGAGGGACGGAGAAGGUUAGGUGUACCAGGCGUUGGUUGUCCUGGGGAAAGGCGGUAGGUUUGGAUCUUUGGCAAAUCCGGGAUCCUCUAAGACCGAGCACCGAGACGAGCCUUUAUGGCGAAGUCACUGAUACCACGCUUCCAGGAAAAGCUCCUAAGCUUCAGCUUACGCAGACCGUACCGUAAACCGACACAGGUGGGUAGGAUGAGAAUUCUCAGGCGCUUGAGAGAACUCGGGUGAAGGAACUAGGCAACAUGGCACCGUAACUUCGGGAGAAGGUGCACCCUUUUUGGUGGCUCGUGCGAGCUAUAGCUGAAGAGGGUCGCAGUAACCAGGCCGCUGCGACUGUUUAUCAAAAACACAGCACUCUGCAAACACGAAAGUGGACGUAUAGGGUGUGACGCCUGCCCGGUGCUGGAAGGUUAAUUGAUGGGGUCAGCCGCAAGGCGAAGCUCUUGAUCGAAGCCCCAGUAAACGGCGGCCGUAACUAUAACGGUCCUAAGGUAGCGAAAUUCCUUGUCGGGUAAGUUCCGACCUGCACGAAUGGCGUAACGACAGCGGCGCUGUCUCCACCCGAGACUCAGUGAAAUUGAAAUCGCUGUGAAGAUGCAGCGUUCCCGUGGCAAGACGGAAAGACCCCGUGAACCUUUACUAUAGCUUUACACUGAACGUUGAGUUCGUCUGUGUAGGAUAGGUGGGAGGCUAUGAAACCAUGGCGCUAGCUGUGGCGGAGCCAUCCUUGAAAUACCACCCUGUCGUGCUUGACGUUCUAACCUGGGCCCAUUAUCUGGGUCGGGGACCGUGUAUGGUGGGUAGUUUGACUGGGGCGGUCUCCUCCUAAAGAGUAACGGAGGAGCUCGAAGGUACGCUCAGCGCGGUCGGACAUCGCGCACUGUGUGCAAAGGCAUAAGCGUGCUUGACUGCAAGAUCGACGGAUCAAGCAGGUAGGAAACUAGGACUUAGUGAUCCGGUGGUUCUGUAUGGAAGGGCCAUCGCUCAACGGAUAAAAGGUACUCCGGGGAUAACAGGCUGAUACCGCCCAAGAGUUCAUAUCGACGGCGGUGUUUGGCACCUCGAUGUCGGCUCAUCACAUCCUGGGGCUGUAGUCGGUCCCAAGGGUAUGGCUGUUCGCCAUUUAAAGUGGUACGCGAGCUGGGUUCAGAACGUCGUGAGACAGUUCGGUCCCUAUCUGCCAUGGGCGUUGGAGAUUUGAGAGGGGCUGCUCCUAGUACGAGAGGACCGGAGUGGACGAACCUCUGGUGUUCCGGUUGUCACGCCAGUGGCAUUGCCGGGUAGCUAUGUUCGGAAGCGAUAACCGCUGAAAGCAUCUAAGCGGGAAGCGCGCCUCAAGAUGAGAUCUCCCGGGGCACAAGCCCCCUGAAGGAACCAUGUAGACUACGUGGUUGA